rnacentral:lncRNA from 1 species
CUCUGCCUUCGCUCGCGCCGCUCUCCUUCAGUCUCCCCAGGGCCUGUUUCAUGGAUAGGGUCCCCUUGCCCGCGUGAAAGUCUCAUUCCUCCUCAGCUCAGAAACACUCCAAGGUCUCGGCGCCCUAUACUGGCCUUCCCUCAUCCGAAUACCCCUCGUGCUCCUGAUGUACUUUUCCAUUCCCACUCCCUACUCUGGCAGUCUAGCUUCUAAGCUGAGGAGUUUGGCCUUCGCUCCAGGUGCGGGGACUCGUGGAAGGAUUUGAUUCGCGCUUGAGAAAGAUCGCUCCGCUCCUGUAAGGAAGAGAGCGUGUAGGGGCUGCAACCAGAGACACAGUCAGAAGCUCCGAGGCUACCGCGAUGGUCCAGGACACAGCCUAACAGAGGCCCAGGUUGGAGCCAUGGACCAUGGAGUCAUGAGAAUGGAAGGGAAGCUGACGCCAUGUGGGAUGGGGUAGAACUGUCCGCAAAUUCGUCCCGCCUCUGGAGUCUUCAGACCAGUCAAGGCCGAAAUUCAACCAAGCCUCUCCUCUCUCUAGCUGUUAUUUGUUUGCAGCACGCGGUCUGGUGGCACCCUGCAGGAUUUACCAGCUUUUUGCCAACAUUCUGGCCUAUGCAAUCAAUACGUCCCUUCAGCGUUGCACUUGGAUGGAUUGGACCUAUAGUUGUUAUAUAUGGAUAUUGUCUAAUUUAUUUAUUACAGUAUUAACUGACUCCUAUGUUCUGGCCUUCAGAAUUUCUCCUUUGGAUCAAUUACUAGCCUGUCUUACAUUUUCUGCUUCAUUCUUUUAAAAUGUUUAGAGAUGAUUUGCUAAGUUUUCUUCAUUGCUGUCAAUGAUGCAAUUUAAACUGUCAAAAAAAUUUUUUCUCAAGCAGGGUAGUAAUGGUGAACCAUUCCCUUGCUAUUCAGACAGCAUGGUUUAGAUGAGGCGCACCUAUCCCCAGCUUUAGGAAUGGAAACAG